rnacentral:rRNA from 1 species
GAUGAACGCUGGCGGCGUGCCUAACACAUGCAAGUCGAAACGGACUUAAAUGAAACCUAGUGAUUUUAAGUUAGUGGCGGACGGGUGAGUAACGCGUGGGUAACCUGCCCUAUACCGGAGGAUAACACAUCGAAAGGUGUGCUAAUACUGCAUAAUGUAUAUCAUUCGCAUGUUUGAUAUAUCAAAGACUUAUUGCUUAAGGAUGGACUCGCGUCUGAUUAGUUAGUUGGUGAGGUAACGGCUCACCAAGACGAUGAUCAGUAGCCGACUUGAGAGAGUGAUCGGCCACAUUGGGACUGAGACACGGCCCAAACUCCUACGGGAGGCAGCAGUGGGGAAUAUUGCACAAUGGGGGAAACCCUGAUGCAGCGACGCCGCGUGAGCGAUGAAGUAUUUCGGUAUGUAAAGUUCUAUCAGCAGGGAAGAAAAUGACGGUACCUGACUAAGAAGCACCGGCUAAAUACGUG